GGGAAACUAGGAGACAGAACUGGCGAUAAAUUUGAGAGACUCACUGCUACCUCUAGGUCGAGAUGAGAUUUCUGUCGUGCAUUAAGCUAAUUUGGAUUGUGAAUGAAUACAAGUCCAGGAAGUCGAUUCUGAGACCCGAUACCCUGCGAGGGGAGUGCAGGAUAAGCAGGAGACAUUAAUUAGCGCUGCCUUAAGCAGUUUUACCGACGCAGGCGGGACUGUGGUGGAGCACUGGAGAUGCUGCGAGCCCUGAGCUGCCUUCACAGCCUUGUUGGGUGUGCUGCUGGAUCACACUGCAUGAGAAAUGGAAGCAACCUAUCUGUAAAGAGCCUGCAAACCUCAGGACGCUCUGGAAGCCAGUGGAAUAAUUACAGUGGGAUGAGGCUGCAAGUCCCCUUGCUUCCUGAGCUGCAUUCAUGGCUGUGUGAAGGGGAGAAAGGAAUACAUUUGAGGUCUUUUCAUGGAAGACACAGAUAUUUUAAUGUUGCGAUACCAUCCAACAGGGUGAGCUGAGAGAACCAACACUAAGAGUUUCACAGAUAGAACACCACUAUUCCCUGUGUAAAACAGGAGGUAGGCAGGCGUAGGCCUCCCCUGGAAAACAAUGUUUUAAGAGCUCAU
rnacentral:lncRNA from 1 species